rnacentral:rRNA from 1 species
GACGAACGCUGGCGGCGUGCUUAACACAUGCAAGUCGAACGAAGAGCGAUGGAAGCUUGCUUCUAUCAAUCUUAGUGGCGAACGGGUGAGUAACGCGUAAUCAACCUGCCCUUCAGAGGGGGACAACAGUUGGAAACGACUGCUAAUACCGCAUACGAUCCAAUCUCGGCAUCGAGACUGGAUGAAAGGUGGCCUCUAUUUAUAAGCUAUCACUGAAGGAGGGGAUUGCGUCUGAUUAGCUAGUUGGAGGGGUAACGGCCCACCAAGGCGAUGAUCAGUAGCCGGUCUGAGAGAAUGAACGGCCACAUUGGGACUGAGACACGGCCCAGACUCCUACGGGAGGCAGCAGUGGGGAAUCUUCCGCAAUGGACGAAAGUCUGACGGAGCAACGCCGCGUGAGUGAUGACGGCCUUCGGGUUGUAAAGCUCUGUUAAUCGGGACGAAUGGUUCUUGUGCGAAUAGUGCGAGGAUUUGACG